AAAAGUGAUUGGAAGAGCCGACUCCGGAUGUGCUUGACUGAGCACUGAUUGGAGAACAGAGGGGUCAGGAAGAGCAGUUCCGCACGAGGAUUGGGCUGUGGCGUGUCCCAUGGAAACGGAAUCCAGAACUGCAGCCAAGGUUUAGCUCGGGGGCGGAGCCGGGUCUUCCCUAGGCGCCUGCGCUUAGCCGGUUUCUCGGCGCCAUUUUGUCCCGGCAGCAGCGGCCGUAGCUCUAUCCCAUUUUCUGUGUCUGGAAGCGAGGAAGCGGACUCUGCCCGAGUUAUGCUGAAGACAACAGACACCUCCGUGACAACCCACAGUACCACAGAAUUACCCUGACUUUUGUGGGGAGAACCAAGGUGCUCCGGCUCUAGAAGACCUAGAUUUGUUACUUGUGCUGAAAAGUUCUGGUUCUGGUUUGUAAUUUUACUUCGUCCUUAAGUGAAUAAGAUAUUGGCCGUGUUGUAUGUGUAUGUGUGUAACUUGUGUAACUUUUUGGAAGACAGUUUAUUUGUAAAAGCAUUGGUAUAUGUUGAGAAGUAGAAUUAAUUCAACUGGGUUGAAUAUAGCUGCUUCCCAAAAGAUUGAAUUUUGGAGGGGAUUACAUAAUUCUAAUCAGACUUUUAUUUUGGGCAUCAAGGAUGUCAGUGUUAGCUGUAAGAAUGCUUUACCUGGCAUACACAAGGCUCUGGGCUCAAAAGCCAGAACAGGUGCUAUUGUUGGUAUUUUUAAAGCAUUCUUUCUAGAAUCUACAUGGAUGAUCUUUUGUCCUGUUGGACUUUGCUGUUGGUUUUAUGACCACAUGAAUGAUAGUUUACAUUCCCAAGUAAUUCAAACUAGAAUGACAGCAUAUUGCAGGGUAGGGAUUAAAGUGGAUCUGGCUUGCUUAAUGACAUUCCUCCCAAGAGCUAUCCCUAGGGAGCUUAGUGUGAAUAAAAUAAGUAACAUAAUUAAACAUGGAGAGUUAAUCUGAAUACUUCAAAAGAUUUAAACAAUUAGAGUUUUUUUCUCUUAUUUUUGUUUUUUGAACAUUAUUUGUCUGUGUAGCCCCAAAUGUCCUGGAACUGCCAUAGCCUUCUGUGUGCUGGGAUGAAAGGUGUGCACCAUCAUGCCCAGCUGGUUAUUUUUAAAGAUUUAAAUAAUGGCUUCUGGUGAAAGAUCAGUGGAGGUUCAAUAUACAGUCAGCUCUAGAGACAUUGAAGAAACAUUCCUUUAAGCAAGCAGAGCCUAGGGCUAGUUAAAUGGAAGAUUUUGAGCAAGAGUGAGAAAAGCUGUUUCAGAUGGUAGACCAGUUGGGAAAGGAUGCCUGGUAAAAGAUGAGGUCAGAAAAGUUAGGAGGCCUGUGUUGUCAGAGUUGCUAGACUCAGCUGCACACAAGAAUCCUAUGGAGCAUUUGCCCUCUACAGAUUUUUAGAGGACUUUGAGAUUGAGAAAUGAACAUAAAUUAAAGAUGUUUUUUAUUUUUUGUUGUCUUUUGAGAUAAGUUCUCACUGUAUAAUAGCCUUGAAAGGAUGGCCUGAAACUCAGGUAUAAUAGACCUAAUAGACGGAGCUAGUCUCAGAUUCACAGAAAUCCAACUGCCUCUGCCUCCUAAUUGCUGGGAUUAAAGGCCAUGGCCAUCACACCCACCUUAAGAUUCCAGUUUUUUCAAGAUAGAGCUUCUCUGUGUAGCCUUAGAUGUUCUGGAACUCCUCUGUAAAUCAGGCUGCCCUUGAACUCAGAUCCAACUACCUCAGCCUCCCAAGUGUUGGGGUUAAAGGCUUGCGUGACCACCACCCAGCCCUACUUCUACUUUGAUGUGUUCUUUUGUCUGUCCCCAGGUCAAGAGUUUUUCCUCUCCCAUUCAGUAAGUUUCCUUGGCUUUGCUGACAAGUAUAUGGGCACACUCCUGAAGAAGAUGUUUCUUCCUGUAUCAGGUGUUAACUCUUUGAAUACUCAGGGAGGAGCGAGGCCCCAUGAGACACUCUCUUUUAACAGGAUAUUGACAGGCCCAAUCCUGUACAGAUAAUCUUAACUAUCAUGAGUUCAAGGGUACAACAGCCAGGUCAGUGUUCCAUUAUCUCUUGGCUUCCUCUGGCACUUAGAUUCUUUCUGUCUCUUCUGUGAUGUGCCCUGAGCCUUGAAGUGGGUUAUGUGAAUGUGCUGUUUAGAGCUGAGCACUCGACAGUCGCUGAUUCUCAGCACUUGCUGGCUAGCCUUCCUGUAGAGCUUGGAGGAAGCCAAAAUGCCUGUGUGUGACCUUGUACGUUAGCCCUUACUUCCUCCUCAUUCUAGCUCUUUCAGAGUCUCCUAUGGUUUUAAAAUAGCCAAUGAAAUUAUAUGUUGCCACGUAUGGAAGGCAAAGAAACAAAUAUCAUGCAAAAGGCUGUAAACAGUUCAGUCUAAUCUGUGCAACCACAAAUAAAAACUGUUUAACCGAA